rnacentral:tRNA from 1 species
UAAAAGAUAAGCUAAUAAAGCUGAGGGGUUCAUACCCCCUUUAUGACCCCCGUCUCUUUUAA